rnacentral:rRNA from 1 species
GGCUCACCAAGGCAACGAUGCGUAGCCGACCUGAGAGGGUGAUCGGCCACACUGGGACUGAGACACGGCCCAGACUCCUACGGGAGGCAGCAGUAGGGAAUCUUCCGCAAUGGACGAAAGUCUGACGGAGCAACGCCGCGUGAGUGAUGAAGGUUUUCGGAUCGUAAAGCUCUGUUGUUAGGGAAGAACAAGUACCGUUCGAAUAGGGCGGUACCUUGACGGUACCUAACCAGAAAGCCACGGCUAACUACGUGCCAGCAGCCGCGGUAAUACGUAGGUGGCAAG